UCAUGAAAAUGAUGGUGAGGAAACACUUUCACUAAGUAGAUUUUAGCUAGAUAGCAAUUGUGAUAUUUGCAUUCUCAAAGUCGUUAGUGGAGCGUGUGUGGUUUACCGGCACACUAACCUGGACUUGUGAGAAGUGGAAAAAAGGUCUAACCAUUAUGAUUACGGCAUCCCUCUUCAUAAUUGUUUAGACACACAAGUGUGCUAUCUAAGGGAAGGUGUAUGAUUUUGAUAAAGUCUUAUCAAAACAAUCUAGUAUCAGAAAUCUGAACUUUGGUAAGAAAGUCAAUGAAGUAUUGAUUUCUAGAAGUCCAGCUGAUUUCUGAGUACAUGUCAAAGCUAGUGGGAGCAUAAGUGUUAUGCUAAUAAUCAUCAUGUUAGUGGGAGCAUGAUAAUUAUGAUAAGUAUUGCAAGUUAGCAAUGUUAAUUAUAGAAAACAAAAGUUUCAAUUGGGAAAAAGUUGUUUUGCUAUAAUUAAGGGAGAGGAAAUUAUGCUUCAUCUCAAAUCUAUAAGCUUAGAUCGUGAGGUUUUAAUCAUUUAGUC
rnacentral:lncRNA from 1 species